GCACUGCCUCUACUUCUGUUACUGUCUUGCAGCCCAUGGGAAGAGGUGUGAACAAUUAGCUAAUGAAGAGCACACUAUGUCUAGACAGCUAACUGUUAGCAGAUGAUUGCUGUUUAUAUUUGUCAGAAUGCUGAGUGACACGAGCAAGAUAGAUGUGCGUCAGGAACAGAUAUCACCAGACUCCAAAAUACUGUCCUUCUUGCUGCGUUUUUUUCUUUUCUUCAUUCUCAGAUGCGCACACCACACUGAAUACCUGACUCAUCAAUUCUCCACCGAUAGAGAGACAUCAUGAUCAGUCCUUUGAAAUAUCUACCUGCUGCACAAUAUUUCUUUUGUGCUCCAAAAAAUAGAAAUAAUGUUGGGUCCAUUGCCUUUUGUUCUGUAACUGGGCUUCACUGAGAAGAGUCUGGCUCCCUCUUCAUCCCGUACCCUGUGCUAACUAAAGCCACAAACCAGAUGUUCUGGAGGGGGCUUUCUGGCUGGAUGAGUUCCUAAGGAUGGUUCAGAGUCAGCCACCUGUGCUCCAGGAACCCUUGGUAACAAACUAUAGAGGAAAGAUGUAUAUACUAAAUGACAAGGAGAUGAAUGCUGAAGUUUCCAUGUGCAUUCAAGUGUUUGGUGUUUCUACUCUUCUUCCAUUUGAGAAGACCAUAUAUAUGAUAUUGCUGCCAUUAUAAUGACAUUCUUCAACAAGGAAGAUGCGUCUUUUUAUGGGCAUUGGCACCAUUUACAGGAUCCACAUUUAUGCAAGUCUGUUCUGUAUUUCAUUUAAAUAAAGCCUCCAUAAAAGCUUUGAUCAUUAAUUAUUUAUCCAGCUAGAUUCUUUUACCUUCCCUUUCCUUCUCUUCCCUUCCCUUCCCUUCCCCUCUUUUCUUCAUUUGAAAACAGUUCCCACUUUGUAUGGUUAUAAAAAAAUAAUAAGAUAAAUGUUUAUCAGAGAGCCUUUCCUUCAGCCCUUCUCUAGCGAUGACCACUCCAC
ensembl:lncRNA